GUAGGGUGCGAGCGUUGCCCGGAUUUAUUGGGCGUAAAGGGCGCGCAGGCGGUACGGCACGUCCGUUGUGAAAUCGCUCGGCUCAACUGGGCGGGGUCAGCGGAUACGGCCGCACUUGAGCAAGCUAGGGGGCAAUGGAAUUCCCGGUGUAGUGGUGGAAUGCGUAGAUAUCGGGAGGAACACCAGUGGCGAAGGCGGUUGCCUGGAGCUUUGCUGACGCUGAGGCGCGAAAGCGUGGGGAGCGAUCCGGACUAGAUACCCGGGUAGUCCACGCCGUAAACGAUGUCGACUAGGUGUCGGGGGUAUCGACCCCCUCGGCGCCGCAGCUAACGCAUUAAGUCGACCGCCUGGGGACUACGGCCGCAAGGCUA
rnacentral:rRNA from 1 species